AAAAUAUAUAUAUAUAUAUAUAUUGUUCACUAAAACACCCCAGUGAAGGGAUGGAGGUUGCAUAAUGAGGGAAGGUAUCACAAUUGAUAGUCAAAGGCAAUUCUAUUAUCAGUCGGUUAUUUAUUAAUUAUAGUGUUCCUAAUCCUACUUGUAUAAGGAACAACUCUAGAAUCUCUAUAAAUAGGAAUGUAUUAUUCUCCUCUUAAUAGUAGAAAAAAAGCAAAUAACUGUUCAUGGACGUAGGCGCACUUGCCAAAUAAUGUAAAACUGUGUUUUUGCUUUUCUCUCUCCUUUUCUAAUGUGUGUGUGUGUGUAUUUUGUUGUGGGUUUGUGCUAAAAACAUGCAACUACAGAUUAAUCAGAUCCUGAAGAAAGAGACAUAUUGAUCACAAACACAUACGAAAGGAGAACAAACAAAGAAGCCGAUGGAAGAGAGAGAAGGAAGGGCAGGGGGGAAGGGAAAGAGAAAGAAGACAAUAGAAAUAAAAACUACCAAGCCUUGGCACGUGUUAGAUAAAUAAUUCACAAUAUUUUUGAGCCCAUAACAGAUAUUACAACAAGCAUCUUUAAUUUAUUGGCUCUUUGUUUCCAAAUGCCAAUACUACUAAGAAAUUCUAGUUUCCAAAGAAGGAAUAGUAUGCACAAGUAAACUGCACCUAUAUGUUCUUAACAUUAUUAUCAGUGAUAUGCUGGAUCUUAUUUAAAACUAAUUAUUACACUUUUUAAUAUAAAAAAUAAAGCAGGAUUUACAGUGCUUAAAGUUUAAUCACAGCACAUAUAAUGCAAGAAGAAGAAAUGGAAAAUUAUGCUUCAAUGAUAAAAUGUGAAUCUCACAUCUCCAGCAAGGAACAUUUAAGUUAGAUUAGAUGAUAAAGUCACAAGUAACAAACCAACUGUUUCAAAUUGACUAACCAAACUGAUUGGGCUUAGUUACAUGGAUCAUUUUUGUUUACUAUAUUCCAUUUAGGGCCAAAGUUUUAUGCAAGCUAUUGUCUACCUCUAUGUCCAUUCCUACAAAUUUAAUGCACUCACCUUUACUGCACUGGCAAAUCAAAAGGUCAAAUGUCAGAUAUGGCGGAACCAUUCCAGAGUGCAGACAACCUGCCCACAAUUCUUAACUGGUGCUACCUUCCAUUUCCAAUGAGUGCACGCAUUUCUUAGCUAGUCCUUUGAUUUCAACAGCUAUCAUAAAAUCCCCAUCUCAACUUACACUCAUUUGAUAAACAUGCCAUGCUAGUCUUUUACAACCAAACCUUAUUGCAUCAUAAGGUAGAGCCAGUCUAAUUGUUUUAUAAAAAACAAUUAUUUAAUAACUGGUACUUUACGAACAUAACAUUCCAAUCACCCACCAAUUCAACCAUGUGUCUAGCUUUAAUGUGAAUAUUCUUUUCCUGUAACUUUUUCAAAGGAAUCCAAGUGAUCACACCAAGGCAGCUCUACUCCAUCCAAUCCAACAUCCUUUACUUGCAUAAAACUAAUGAUACUAAAUUUCCAAAUGUACACGGUACUUUUUAAUUAUGAUGAACAAAUCCAGACCCUAGAGUACUCCAAAACUUAGUUUCAUUUACCCCAAUUUAGGAUUAAAAAAAAUCACAAUGGAAAUCCUGGUAGAUAAGGAAAUCAUGAUAAUUAACGUAAAUGAUGACAUCAAGUUAACAAGAAAGUGAGAACAUAGUUGAACUUGGCAGGUUACUAUCAAGUUAGACCAGAUCAGAAACAAGCAACACUCGAAAACAGAAGCAGAUAAUUGCCGAACAAGCUUCCAGUUCUGCAUAACCAGUUAGCCAUGCCAAGGGAGCUUGACAGUCCCAUAGAAAAGGGAAGGUAUAAAUUAAAGCCUACCAGAGUAGAUUUAUAAGGAAAAGGUUAUUAUUGGUCACAGAAAGUACUCACAUGUAUCCACCCAAGGGGGAAUAA
rnacentral:misc_RNA from 1 species